rnacentral:rRNA from 1 species
UGGGGAAUCUUGGACAAUGGGCGCAAGCCUGAUCCAGCCAUGCCGCGUGAGUGAUGAAGGCCUUAGGGUUGUAAAACUCUUUCGCCGAGGACGAUAAUGACGGUACUCGGAGAAGAAGCUCCGGCUAACUUCGUGCCAGCAGCCGCGGUAAUACGAAGGGGGCUAGCGUUGUUCGGAUUUACUGGGCGUAAAGCGCGUGUAGGCGGGUCGUUAAGUUGGGGGUGAAAUCCCGAGGCCCAACCUCGGAACUGCCUCCAAAACUGGCGACCUGGAGCAAGAUAGAGGCGAGUGGAAUUCCGAGUGUAGAGGUGAAAUUCGUAGAUAUUCGGAGGAACACCAGUGGCGAAGGCGACUCGCUGGAUCUUUGCUGACGCUGAGACGCGAAAGCGUGGGGAGCAAACAGGAUUAGAUACCCGCGUAGUCCCUGAGCGGGCUGGCAAGGCGCAU